UGGCUCUCGCAUCGAUGAAGAACGCAGCGAAAUGCGAUAAGUAAUGUGAAUUGCAGAAUUCAGUGAAUCAUCGAAUCUUUGAACGCAUCUUGCGCUCCUUGGUAUUCCGAGGAGCAUGCCUGUUUGAGUGUCAUUAAAUUCUCAACCUUACUAGCUUUAUUAGCAUGUAUGGCUUGGAUAUGGGGGAUUUGCAGGCUUUUACAAGUCAGCUCCUCUAAAAUACAUUAGCAGUGCCUCUGUGGUUAACGGCUAUUGGUGUGAUAAUUAUCUAUGCCAUUUUAAUCGUCCACAUUAUGAGUUACACCGCUUCUAAUAGUCCAGUUGGACAACAAAUAUAAAUGACAAUUUUGACCUCAAAUCAGGUAGGACUACCCGCUGA
rnacentral:misc_RNA from 1 species